CAGUCGCCGCGGUAACACAGAGGGUGCAAGCGUUAAUCGGAAUUACUGGGCGUAAAGCGCGCGUAGGUGGUUUGUUAAGUUGGAUGUGAAAGCCCCGGGCUCAACCUGGGAACUGCAUCCAAAACUGGCAAGCUAGAGUACGGUAGAGGGUGGUGGAAUUUCCUGUGCAGCGGUGAAAUGCGUAGAUAUAGGAAGGAACACCAGUGGCGAAGGCGACCACCUGGACUGAUACUGACACUGAGGUGCGAAAGCGUGGGGAGCAAACAGGAUUAGAUACCCGGGUAGUCCCUGUCUCUUAUAC
rnacentral:rRNA from 1 species